rnacentral:rRNA from 1 species
GACGAACGCUGGCGGCGUGCUUAACACAUGCAAGUCGAACGGAAAGGCCCUGCUUUUGUGGGGUGCUCGAGUGGCGAACGGGUGAGUAACACGUGAGUAACCUGCCCUUGACCUUGGGAUAACUUCAGGAAACUGGGGCUAAUACCGGAUAGGAGCUCCUGCUGCAUGGUGGGGGUUGGAAAGUUUCGGCGGUUGGGGAUGGACUCGCGGCUUAUCAGCUUGUUGGUGGGGUAGUGGCUUACCAAGGCUUUGACGGGUAGCCGGCCUGAGAGGGUGACCGGCCACAUUGGGACUGAGAUACGGCCCAGACUCCUACGGGAGGCAGCAGUGGGGAAUAUUGCACAAUGGGCGGAAGCCUGAUGCAGCAACGCCGCGUGCGGGAUGACGGCCUUCGGGUUGUAAACCGCUUUCGCCUGUGACGAAACGUGAGUGACGGUAAUGGGUAAAGAAGCACCGGCUAACUACGUG